UACGAAGGUUGCAAGCGUUACUCGGAAUUACUAGGCGUAAAGGGCAGGUAGGUGGUUUGGUAAGUCUAUUGUGAAAGCUCCCGGCUUAGCUGGGAGAGGCCAAUGGAUACUGCCAGGCUUGAGUAUAGGAGAGGUUACUGGAAUUCCCGGAGGAGCGGUGAAAUGCGUUGAGAUCGGGAGGAACACCAAUGGCGAAAGCAGGUAACUGGACUAUUACUGACACUCAACUGCGAAAGCUAGGGGAGCAAACAGG
rnacentral:rRNA from 1 species